GAUCCUGGCUCAGGAUGAACGCUGGCGGCGUGCUUAACACAUGCAAGUCGAACGAACCUUCGGGUUAGUGGCGGACGGGUGAGUAACGCGUGAGAAUCUGCCCUCAGGAGGGGGAUAACGGCUGGAAACGGCCGCUAAUACCCCAUAUGCCGAGAGGUGAAAUGAAUUUCGCCUGAGGAUGAGCUCGCGUCUGAUUAGCUAGUUGGUGGGGUAAGAGCCUACCAAGGCUCCGAUCAGUAGCUGGUCUGAGAGGAUGAUCAGCCACACUGGGACUGAGACACGGCCCAGACUCCUACGGGAGGCAGCAGUGGGGAAUUUUCCGCAAUGGGCGAAAGCCUGACGGAGCAACGCCGCGUGAGGGAUGAAGGCCUCUGGGCUGUAAACCUCUUUUCUCAAGGAAGAAGAUCUGACGGUACUUGAGGAAUAAGCCACGGCUAAUUCCGUGCCAGCAGCCGCGGUAAUACGGGAGUGGCAAGCGUUAUCCGGAAUUAUUGGGCGUAAAGCGUCCGCAGGCGGCCUUGAAAGUCUGCUGUUAAAGCGUGGAGCUUAACUCCAUUUCAGCAGUGGAAACUACAAGGCUAGAGUGUGGUAGGGGCAGAGGGAAUUCCCGGUGUAGCGGUGAAAUGCGUAGAUAUCGGGAAGAACACCAGUGGCGAAGGCGCUCUGCUGGGCCAUAACUGACGCUCAUGGACGAAAGCCAGGGGAGCGAAAGGGAUUAGAUACCCCUGUAGUCCUGGCCGUAAACGAUGAACACUAGGUGUCGGGGGAAUCGACCCCUCCGGUGUCGUAGCCAACGCGUUAAGUGUUCCGCCUGGGGAGUACGCACGCAAGUGUGAAACUCAAAGGAAUUGACGGGGGCCCGCACAAGCGGUGGAGUAUGUGGUUUAAUUCGAUGCAACGCGAAGAACCUUACCAGGGUUUGACAUCCUGCGAAUCCCUUGGAAACGAGGGAGUGCCUUCGGGAGCGCAGUGACAGGUGGUGCAUGGCUGUCGUCAGCUCGUGUCGUGAGAUGUUGGGUUAAGUCCCGCAACGAGCGCAACCCACGUCUUUAGUUGCCAGCAUUGAGUUGGGCACUCUAGAGAGACCGCCGGUGAUAAACCGGAGGAAGGUGUGGAUGACGUCAAGUCAUCAUGCCCCUUACAUCCUGGGCUACACACGUACUACAAUGCUACGGACAAAGGGCAGCAAACUCGCGAGAGCUAGCAAAUCCCAUAAACCGUGGCUCAGUUCAGAUCGUAGGCUGCAACUCGCCUACGUGAAGGAGGAAUCGCUAGUAAUCGCAGGUCAGCAUACUGCGGUGAAUACGUUCCCGGGCCUUGUACACACCGCCCGUCACACCAUGGAAGUUGGCCACGCCCGAAGUCGUUACUCCAACCCGCAAGGGAGGAGGAUGCCGAAGGUGGGGCUGAUGACUGGGGUGAAGUCGGAACAAGGUA
rnacentral:rRNA from 1 species